rnacentral:rRNA from 1 species
GACGAACGCUGGCGGCGUGCUUAACACAUGCAAGUCGAACGGAAAGGCCCCUUUGGGGGUCCUCGAGUGGCGAACGGGUGAGUAACACGUGAGUAACCUGCCCUUGACUUCGGGAUAACUUCAGGAAACUGGGGCUAAUACCGGAUAGGAAUCCUUUCUGCAUGGUGGGGGUUGGAAAGCUUCGGCGGUUUUGGAUGGACUCGCGGCUUAUCAGCUUGUUGGUGGGGUAGUGGCUUACCAAGGCUUUGACGGGUAGCCGGCGCGAGAAGGCGACCGGCCACAGUGGGACUGAGAUACGGCCCAGACUCCGACGGGGGGGAGAAGUGGGGAAGAGUGAACAAGGGGCGGGAGCCUGAGGCAGAAACGCCGCGGGCGGGAUGACGGCCUUGGGGUUGGAAACCGCAUGCAGCAGGGGCGGAGCUUGUGGUGACGGUACCUGCAGAAGAAGCACCGGCUAACUACGUG